GUGCAUUGUUUACACUUAAAUAAAGUUAGUUUGUAGAGGAUUAUGAUAACAACUAAUAUUAUUUAAAGUAUUUUUUUUUUACUCUAUAAAUGAAUUGAUUAAGAUAUGAUUCCAUUUUAUAAAAUACGAAUGCAUUGAACAGUUUUUGGUCAGUCAUAAAACAUCCAACAGAUUUUGUACUAUCAAUUAUAUUUUGUAAUUUUACCAACGUUAUUGCUACAUAUUUAUUUAAAAUGGACAAGAGUGAAAAAACGAAGAACUGUACUAAUCAGUGCAAUUCUUGUCACAAAACAGCUGAACCAGAACAUCAAAGUGCUUAUCAGGGAGAUGUAUCAAAAGCUAAUUUAGAUAAACAUGAAAAUCAAAAGAAUCCAACAAAUGAAAAAUACACCACACCCCAGAAAAACUAAAAAUAAUACCUAUAUAAAGAAAAAAAUUGUAAACUAGGCAUUUUUUUUAGCGAUUUGUCUAAAAUUAGUAAAAUAUUUAUCUUAUAUUUG